rnacentral:miRNA from 1 species
UUUUAGGCUCCCGUCAGAUCUCG